rnacentral:rRNA from 1 species
UACGUAGGCAGCAAGCGUUGUUCGGAAUUACUGGGCGUAAAGAGUGUGUAGGCGGUUUGGUAGGUCCGCUGUGAAAACUCGAGGCUCAACCUCGAGACGCCGGUGGAAACCAUCAGACUAGAGUCCGGAAGAGGAGAGUGGAAUUCCUGGUGUAGCGGUGAAAUGCGCAGAUAUCAGGAAGAACACCCGUGGCUAAGGCGGCUCUCUAGUACGGUACUGACGCUGAGACGCGAAAGCGUGGGGAGCGAACAGG